CUGACCUCUCUCUCUCUCUCUCUGACCUCUCUCUGACCUCUCUCUCUGACCUCUCUCUCUCUCUCUCUGAUCUCUCUCUCUGACCUCUCUCUCUCUCUCAUUUAAGAUAAUAUGGAAAAUGUGUACAACAAUAAGACAACACGACACCAAGCUUCUAUUGGCCGAUUCCUAGCCUGAUCCGAGAUAUGUAUCUGAAGACAAGUCAGCUAGCUUUAGCCAAGUUCUCUAAAGCUAAUCAGAUCUGGGACCAGGCUACCUGAUUCCUUGUCUGUCUGUCUGUCUGUUGGCUAGUGUAGGGAUGAAUAAUGUCAGUGUGGAGCUGAAACCUUAAGGAAGCAUGUUAAAUCUGUCUCCACUCCUCUGCUGCGUCAGACCCUUUCGGUCUGUCUCUCUUCUUCUUAAGAUGGUGAAAUCUCUCCUUUGGCAGGCGAUAACUCGCUUCCCUGUUUUUACGUCCCCUUUUUAUGAUGUAAUGGCCAGGCUCCUUUUUUCCCGCUCCAGUCACUUCCUGUUGAAAGGUCAGAUGGAUGGUGUCCUAUGGAUUCUGUAUCAUCACUUUACACAUGGUCUUAUACUCAACAGUUAGGUUUGUUCAGAAGCGUUUGUUCUGUAAAGGAAGACCCCUGAAGCGGUGUGGAGCUUCAACAUCAUGUGACAACAGUUUCAUAUCAGUUGGAUAGUGGAUUGGAAUUUCACUUCAUACAAAAAGACUGAAUUAUUGUGUGUGGACAUUGUUGUUUUUCAGAGGCACUUAUUAACCCCGAGUAGACACACCCACCCACCCACCCAGAGUGAGCUGAGCCCAGUGGGCAGCCUAGGGCAAGAUUUCCCAACCCCCUCUUCAGGUGCACCUUUUGUUUUUUGCCCUAGCACUACACAGCUGAUUCAAAUAAUCAAAGCUUGAUGAGUUGGUUAUUUGAAUCUGCUGUGUAGUGGUUUGUAGGACAGAGGUUUGGCCAGCAGGGGGGAGGCACUGACAUGUGAAUGGUUAGUCAGGCUGAGCUCGGAUGGCUACAGUGUGGUUUAGUACCAGCCAGACAGAUAGCUCUGGCGCCUCCUGGGUUUUCCUAACACAUCCACACAGCAGUCAGCCAUAGGGCAGGUGAUGCACAUGGAAUACCGCUGACUUCCAAAGACAACAGGGACGGGUGACAAGGCGAGGUCUUGCUGUCUUUCUCCCCUCCUCCCUCUCUUUCUCCCCCAAUCCAGCCCCUGAAGAACUCGGCUCUCCACUGGCGCUUUAUCAGCCUGUGUGGAUCCACCCAUCCCUUUAAGAUAGGACCGGUGGUGUAGCCAGCGUGUGGAUCCACCCAUCCCUUUAAGAUGGGACCGGUGGUGUAGCCAGCGUGUGGAUCCACCCAUCCCUUUAAGAUAGGACCGGUGGUGUAGCCAGCGUGUGGAUCCACCCAUAACUUUAAGAUAGGACCGGCGGUGUAGCCAGCGUGUGGAUCCAACCAUCCCUUUAAGAUAGGACCGGCGGUGUAGCCAGCGUGUGGAUUCAACCAUCCCUUUAAGAUAGGACCGGUAGUGUAGCCAGCAUGUGGAUCCACCCAUCCCUUUAAGAUAGGACCGGUAGUGUAGCCAGCGUGUGGAUCCACCCAUCCCUUUAAGAUAGGACCGGUGGUGUAGCCAGCGUGUGGAUCCACCCAUCCCUUUAAGAUAGGACCGGUGGUGUAGCCAGCGUGUGGAUCCACCCAUCCCUUUAAGAUAGGACCGGUGGUG